GGAACUGUUGGAAUCAUUUCUUUUAAAAAGUCUUAU
rnacentral:sRNA from 1 species